UACGUAGGUGGCAAGCGUUGUCCGGAUUUAUUGGGUUUAAAGGGUGCGUAGGCGGCCCUGUAAGUCAGUGCUGAAAUAUCCCAGCUUAACUGGGAGGUGGCAUUGAUACUGCGGGGCUAGAGUACAGAUGAGGUAGGCGGAAUUGACGGUGUAGCGGUGAAAUGCUUAGAUAUCGUCAAGAACACCUAUAGCGAAGGCAGCUUACUAGGCUGUAACUGACGCUGAGGCACGAAAGUGUGGGGAUCAAACAGG
rnacentral:rRNA from 1 species